AACUCCGUAGUCGAACUGGGCAGUAGCAGUGUCGGUCUCGUAGUUAGGAGGAGGUCGGGGACGUGCUCGCAUAGGUUGAGGGGGCGCCGGAGGUGGGGAUCGACGACGACGGCCGUGGCGGCUGUGGUGGGGAUGGCGGCUCGAUGUGGAGCAUACAAGGCCCUUUGGCUUCGAUCCAGAGGCGUAGGUGAAGGAGACGAGGUCGGGGAGGCUCCUGGCCACCUUGUUGUAGCUCGGGGAUGCCCCGGAGCACGGCAACGACGACGCCGGCGGCGACGGGGGUCUUGGGCACGAGCUCUAACAGAGAGAGAGAGAGGGAA